UUGCAUGUUCUAGGUCACAGCCCCCUUCCCUGAAGACUUUUUAAUAGUCUGGUCGCACCCUGUGCAGGAAUCAGUCCCAGUCAGGACACAGCAUGGACAUGAGGGUCCCCACUCAGCUCCUGGGGCUCCUGCUGCUCUGGCUCCCACAUGACAGAUGUGACAUCCAGAUGACACAGCAUGGACAUGAGGGUCCCCACUCAGCUCCUGGGGCUCCUGCUGCUCUGGCUCCCACAUGACAGAUGUGACAUCCAGAUGACCCAGCCUCCAUCCUCCCUCUCUGCCUCUGUAGGAGACAGAGUCACCAUCACUUGCUAGGCUAGUCAAAGCAUUAGCAACUAUUUAAAUUGGUAUCCGCAGAAAACACGGAAAGCACCUAAGUUCUUGACCUAUAGGGCAUCCAGUUUGCAGAGAAGGGUGCCAUUUCAGUUCAGUGGCAGCGGAUAUGGAAGAGAUUUCACUCUUACCAUCAGCAGCCUGCAGCCUGAAGAUUUUGCAACAUAUUACUGUCAACAAGAGAACAUUUUCCCUCUCCCAGUGUGACAAGUCAUAACAUCAAACACUAGAAUAGCAGAUGAGUGAGGCUGGGCUG
rnacentral:lncRNA from 1 species